rnacentral:rRNA from 1 species
GCAAGUCGAACGAACCUUCGGGUGAGUGGCGCACGGGUGCGUAACGCGUGGGAAUAUACAUAUAGGUAAGGAAUAACUGCUGGAAACGGUAGCUAAUACCUUAUAAUGACUCCGGUCCAAAGAUUUAUCGCCUAUAGAUUAGCCCGCGUCUGAUUAGCUAGUUGGUGAGGUAAGAGCUCACCAAGGCGACGAUCAGUAGCUGGUCUUAGAGGAUGAUC